GACAACUGAAGUGGAUCCAAUUCUUCAACUAGAACUUUUCUCAUAUUUGAAUCUUCUUUACUUUUAUUAUUUGCUUUACUUUAUUGCUUUCAACAUUAAUUUAAUUCAUCGAUCUCAAAACUCUCCUUUUAUUUUACUUUCAGUUUAUUUACUUGGUCUUGAUAAGGGAAAAUAGGUAAGUAUCGACUCCCUGUGGAUUCGAUCCUUUUGCCACUAUCUGCAGUUAUAAAAUUAUUGAUAACCAAAAAUGUUAUUUUUUACCGGUUUCGACAACCGCACAGUCAAAAUUGGCGCCGUUGCCGGGGAGUUGAUUUAACUAAUUUAUUUUUCUUUCAUGACCAAGACUGGACGCAAGAAAACUCUGCAUUAUGAUAUAGAAAUUGAGUGUAAGGACCCGAAAAUCGAACCGCUACCGGCGCUAGGAUUCAAAUCGACUUAAGGUCGCCGGAACUCGUAGCAAGCCUAACAUACAUCCUGUACAUCUGAUAUAAUCCCAUACAUGAUCAUAUAUUUUCAUAAAAACUUUAAAUUUUUCAUAUACUAAGCUUGACCUGUGCAUGCACCAUAACUCUAUACAUACAAACCUCAUACUAGAGCCCUCAUCAAAUGCUCUAGUUGGGUCAACAUUACAUACAUCAAGCUUGGUUCAAACAUAUAUCAUCAACAACAUUUCAUAAGGAUCAUGUACCAAAGGGAUUAACCAUACAUUAGGACCAAGCACAAUGCUAAUCCUCAUUACAUUACUUUACAUUACAUCAUUUUACAUAUCAUGUCCACUACUAGACUAUUACAUAACAUAGCUAUAGCUAUUACCCUUGCUGACUCCCUGAGCUAUCUCUGACCCUGCAAACCUGAGGGUUAGGGGAAAGGGGGUGAGCUACUAAAGCCCAGUGAGCAGAAUAGUAAAAACAGUUAAUAAACAUAUGCUUUCAUGAUAUGCAUCACAUCACAAACAAUUCACAUCACGGAUGGACUUGUCACCAGAAACCCUCUACAUAUCCAUUGCCCUGCCCACAACGGGGCUCCUCAGGACUUUUGCUUAACAUAACAUAGCAUGUCCAACUGUGCCAAGGGCGUAGUGCAGGCCACACCUGGUCUUCUCUUACAUAUAACAUAUCAUAUCAUAUCAUGUCCAACUGUGCCAGGGGCGUAGUGCAGGCCACACCCGGUCUUCUCUUACAUAUUGCCAGGGGCGUAGUUCAGGCCACAUCUGGUCUUUCCAUCUCAUAUCAUAUCAUAUCAUGUCAUAUCGAGGGUUAAUGGAUCAUCCAAUAUCCAUCCACAUCAACAUCAUACCAUGCAAUGCGUUAUAUUCGUGAAUUCUAAUGCAAUAGAACCUAUUACAUACAUGGCAUUCAUGAUGCAUGAGCAUGCUUAAAAGUUUAAUUGCUUUGAAAUAAAAAGAGUUGUGUUCUACUCACCUCUGGCUGAUACUCAACUGACUCUGGAGCAGCUAACACUGCUGGCCUCCUCGGUUCCUCGGGUCCGAUCCUACACAGGUGGACUCAAAUGAGGGACCAAACAUACUCUAACAUGACUCUAAACAACUCUCCAAAAACCCCCCCUAAAACACCAUAAAUAUGCAUGGAAAAACAGGCAAAGGAAGGCUGGGCAAGAGACUUUCGGCGGCCGAAGGUCCCUCCAGAGCCGAAAGUCAGGCACUUUCGGGGGCAGGGUUCGACUGCCGAAAGACCUUCCAGAGCCGAAAGUCACAACCUUCGAGGGCAGGUUCGGCGGCCGAAACUCCCCUCCAAAGCCGAAAGUCCCAACUUUCGGAGGCGAGUUUAGGCGGCCAAAACUGCCUCCUCUAGCAGGUUCGGCGGCCGAACCUUGUUUCGUUGGCCGAACCUAGAUCCUUCUGGGUGGCAGAACCCGAUUCUGCCAUCCCACAUCCAGCCAUCCAAACUUCCCAGCACACAUUCAUCUAUUCUAAAACAUGCAUAAACACUUAUUCAAGCAUAUAGGGGCAUAAAACUAGCCUAUACCCCAACAAUAUCACAUUUAACAUACAUUCAUCAAUAAACUAACAUAAAUCCUAACAUUUUACAUCUACUCUAAACAUGCAUUAUAUCCUUAACCCCUUUUAAAACUUACUUAAAAUAUGAAAGAAUGUAUGGAUCUACACUUACCUCUUAAAGACCAAGGGUAGAUGCGACCAAAACUUGGAGAUGAGGAGGAAACGAGUUUCGAAGGUCUCCAAGCUCCAAAACUUUGAUCUAAGCUUAAAAUCUUCAAAACAAGGUAAAAACUUAUAAAAAACUUGAAGGAUUUGAGGAGAGAACACAAGAUCAUCAAGGGGGUGGCAGAGACUCACUUUGCCCAGCAAUGGAGAGAAAACUCGCCCAUUUUCGGACAGGGGGGCCUUUUAUAGGUGGCUGGCCAGACCACCUUUGGGGGCCAAAAGUGUCUCCACAACUCUACCAUGUUCGGUGGCCGAACCUGGGUUUCUCCUCCAAGACAUUUUCUUUCAAAACUCAAUUUUUUCUUCAUUAAAACCUUAAAAACAUGUAAAAAUAAUUUAGAAAACCUUUGUUUUCACCCUUUUAAGGGAUUUUGACCUCAGAAUUUUGAAUUUGAACGGAGAUUCCGCUGGAAAGUUGGAAUUCCGAUGCCGGAGCUUAGCCGGGUAUUACAUUGAGCGUACAAACAGGCGACUUGGGAAGCAAGUCACCACACUUUGAAUCAAGCCACCACCGAAUCUGCCCCCAAGGAACCAGCAAUCGCAGACUCAGUGUGCAACUCUUCUGAACUUGACCAAACAGCCACGGAGAUGGCUGAAAUCAAUAGACAACCUGCUGCACAUGUUGAACUUGUUGUUCAUGAUGAAUUUAUACUAGAAAAUCCAGCCAUGAGGGGCACCAAUACCAAGAGAAAGAACACUGGGAGAGUUGGCAGUCCCUUUAGGCGAUCAAGCACCUCUCUGCAUCACCUAUCCGCCAUCUUUUUUAAUGUUCAGGCACUGUCGUUUAUUUUGCGCCCCAUUGUUUCUUUUUUAAUGUUCUUUGACUUUAAACUAAUUAAACUAAACAAUUAAUAUUUUAUUUUAAUAGAAUAUUUGAAUAAAUGAUUGCUAAUGAAUAACAAUUUUGCUUAUAAUGUAUGAGUAUAAUAUUUUGGGGUAAGUAAGGCGUUGUCGUUUAUUUUGCGCCCCAUCGUUUCUUUUUUAAUGUUCUUGAUUUUAAACCAAUUAAACAGGUUUUAUUUUAAUUGAAUAUUUGAAUAAAAAAUUAGUAAUAAUUAUUAUAUUUUGUUUAAAAUGUAUAAGUAUAAUAUUUUGGGGUAAGAAUGGCACGGUUGUUUAUUUUGCGACCAUCAUUUCCUUUUAAAUGUUCAGGCACUGCCGUUUAUUUUGUGCCCCAUCGUUUCUUUUUUAAUAUUCUUCGACUUUAAACUAAUAUUUUUUUCCUUUUGCUUUCUUUUUAUUUCUUUUUGCAUCUUUUUGCCCCAUAAACACACACCAAAAUUUUUCACACAUUUUUUCACUUUUUGCACACACACACAGAAUUUUGACUUAGCUUUUGCUCUACUCAGCAUAGAUAACAAGGUUAAACGAGCUUCCUAUCUCAUGACCCCAUUGAUUUUCCACCCCUUUAAGCCUAAAUUGAAUCAAUUAUAGUGUGCUACCUUCACUUUGGAAAGUUCUUUUCUUGAAUUGAAUCCCUAAGUUUGCUUUGGUCAAGGAAAAUAAAAAUAAAUACAUGCAAAUAAAAAGUUAGGUGUAACUUCCUAAUAAUUGAUUUGCCCAAACUGUCAUAAAAAGAAAAAGAAAAAGAAAAGACCAGCACAAAUGCACAAAUAAAACCUGUUCCAAUGGUCAAAUAAGCUAUGAAAAGAGCUAGUAGCCACUUGAACAAGUGACUAACUGAGUAACCGGGGGUGGGUAUCACCAAUAUGCACCUUCGCGUAAAAAGGUUAGUGACUUAUUCAGGCAAGAAUAAAUAAGUGUUGCUGAAUAAAAAAGUAUGAUAAAAAGGGCAAGUCACUCUUAGGAGUUGCAUUGAGCUUGAAACAAGAACAAGCAUGAUUGAAUCAAAAACCUUUCUCUUGGCCAUGGUAAGUGAGGGGAAACAAGGAAAAGAAGAAACAACCUUGGUGCAUGUACUCUAUACUAUGAUACUUCAAUUUAGGAGUCUAGGGGGGGCUGAUUAAGUGUCAAAGGAAAAAGGAACUUGAUUGACUAAGUUGUUUGUUGCUUGAGGACAAGCAAAAAGCUAGGUGUGGGGGUAUUUGAUCAAGCAUAAUUUAGCCACAUUUUUAUUAUCUUUAUUAUUGUUUAUUUACACAUUAUUUAGCUUAAUUUAUGGUUUUUACCUUAUUUUUAUAGAAAAGGAAGAAAUUGAAAAAAUGGAGAAAAAGUGCAGAAAAUGACAGAAAAGUGAUUGGGUUAGUGAUUUGCCCAAAUCACUCGUAGAAACUGCCCAAAUCAAGCUAAAGCAGAAACCUGAACUACAUCACAGGAGACUGAUUGGGUCAAUGACUUUGCCAAAUCACUCGCAGAAACAGAAGCCCGGAGCCAACGCGCAGAAAAGUGAUUGGGCUAGUAAUUUGCCCAAAUCACUCGCAGAAACUGCCCAAAUCACUCACAGAGACAGAAAAUUGAAACUGGACAGACUUGCAGAAAGCGAUCGGGGCAGAUAGACCAAGCGAUCUGCCCAAAUCACUGCCCCAAUCACAUUGACAGCAGAAUUGACAGCAGAAGCGGGAAAAGAGCAGAAAAUUCAAAUUCAAAGAAAAGAAGUCCAAGUCCACUUCAAACACCACAAGAUCAGUCCCAAGAGCCACGCCCUUCACUUAGAGAGUUCCAUUCUCAAUCAAAUACAAAGUCCAAAGAGGAAUCAAAGACUACAAAGAAGACCAAAUCAAAUUGAGAUUUCAAAACCCUAAUCAAAUUGGAAUUGGGAUUCUCCAGCUAUAUAAGGGCAGCAUCCAAACCAGAAUAGCAUCUCUCAUCUUCAGCAAUUCUGCAGAAAACACAACAGCUUGUCCUUUUCUUUCUUUUCUUCUUUUCUCUUGUGAUUUUGUCCACCAUGAGUGGCUAAUUUCAUUCUUUUCUAGUUGAAAUGUUGGAAAUUCAGAUUUGUGAUGAAUUGAGAGAUUUAAAACUCCAUUGUUAAACUCUUAUUUGCUUUCAAUAUUUAUGCAACUAGAUCUUUU
rnacentral:lncRNA from 1 species